GACGAACGCUGGCGGCGUGCUUAACACAUGCAAGUCGAACGGAAAGGCCCUGCUUUUGUGGGGUGCUCGAGUGGCGAACGGGUGAGUAACACGUGAGUAACCUGCCCUUGACUUUGGGAUAACUUCAGGAAACUGGGGCUAAUACCGGAUAGGAGCUCCUGCUGCAUGGUGGGGGUUGGAAAGUUUCGGCGGUUGGGGAUGGACUCGCGGCUUAUCAGCUUGUUGGUGGGGUAGUGGCUUACCAAGGCUUUGACGGGUAGCCGGCCUGAGAGGGUGACCGGCCACAUGGGGACUGGGAUACGGCCCGGACUCCUACGGGAGGCAGCAGUGGGGAUUAUGGCACAAGGGGCGGAAGCCUGAUGCAGCAACGCCGCGUGCGGGAGGACGGCCUUCGGGUGGUAAACCGCUUUCGCCUGUGACGAAGCGUGAGUGACGGUAAUGGGGAAAGAAGCACCGGCGAACUACGU
rnacentral:rRNA from 1 species